UUAAUUUUUAGUGAGGUGUGUGUUGUUAUUACCACAUAGUAGAACAGGUCUAAAUUGGUCUGGGGCCUCUGGGUCCCAUAACUCGGAAGCUAUUGAGCAAAAAGCAAUUUCCCAUUGGAAAUGAAUGGGAUUCUUAAAAUAUUUAAAUAAAAUAGGAGGAGCAAAAUAUUAUUUUUUAGUGAGGUGUGUGUUGUUAGUACCACAUAGUAGAACAUGCCUAAAUUGGUCUGGGGCCUCUGGGUCCCCUAACUCAGAAGCUAUUGAGCAAAAAGCCGUUUUCCAUAGGAAAUGAAUGGGAUUUUUAAAAAAUUCAAAUAAAAUUGGAGGUGCAAAAUAUUAAUUUUUAGUGAGGUGUGUGUUGUUAUUACCACAUUGUAGGACAGGUCCACAUUGGUUUGGGGCCUCUGGGUCCCAUAACUCGGAAGCUAUUGAGCAAAAAGCCGUUUUCCAUAGGAAAUGAAUGGGAUUCUUAAAAUAUUCAAAUAAAAUUGGAGGUGCAAAAUAUUAAUUUUUAGUGAGGUGUGUGUUGUUACUACCAUAUUGUAGGACAGGUCCACAUUGGUCUGGGGCCUCUGAGUCCUAUAACUCGGAAGCUAUUGAGCAAAAAGCCGUUUUCCAUAGGAAAUGAAUGGGAUUCUUAAAAUAUUUAAAUAAAAUAGGAGGAGCAAAAUAUUAAUUUUUAGUGAGGUGUGUGUUGUUACUACCAUAUUGUAGGACAGGUCCA
ensembl:lncRNA